rnacentral:rRNA from 1 species
UACGUAGGGUGCAAGCGUUAAUCGGAAUUACUGGGCGUAAAGCGUGCGCAGGCGGUUUUGUAAGUCUGUCGUGAAAGCCCCGGGCUCAACCUGGGAAUUGCGAUGGAGACUGCAAGGCUUGAAUCUGGCAGAGGGGGGUAGAAUUCCACGUGUAGCAGUGAAAUGCGUAGAGAUGUGGAGGAACACCGAUGACGAAGGCAGCCCCCUGGGUCAAGAUUGACGCUCAUGCACGAAAGCGUGGGGAGCAAACAGG